rfam:Triticum aestivum genome assembly, contig: Triticum_aestivum_CS42_TGACv1_scaffold_019035_1AS
AGCGGGGUAGGGGAAUUGGUCGACUCACCAGGCUCAUGACCUGAAGACUGCAGGUUCGAAUCCUGUCCCCGCCU